GGACAGCCUCGGGGAGCUGGCAGUUCCCCCUGCGGAGCACCGUCCUGUUCUCUGGUUGUCCCGGGGGUUCUGCAGGUGACCUGUUAGCUCUCCUGCCUCCAUCCUUCAGUGCUCUCUAUUGCAUAUAGCCAAGAGUGGGUGGUGGAAGAUUCCGGAAGGCCACACCACGGUGGGGUCAGGGAAGGUUUGUGGUUCCCAGUGAUCUGCUGCUCUCCCUGCAGGAGGAGGUCACUGCUCCACCCCCCCACGGACAGCAAGCACAGUCAUGUGACUUGCUUAGGCAACAGAAUGUGAGCUAAAGUGAGGUCAGCUGAUUCCCAGCAGAAGUUCUGAGCCUGAGAAGUUCUUGCUUCAUCCAUGGUUCUUCUUCAGUCACAAUAACUGCCUGUCCCAGAGGGUGUUGCUCCUUCGGCCAUGAUCCCAGAUGAUGUCACAUGGAAAAGACCCCCGGCCGACCUGCAGUGCACAUGAAACGUGAGAGAGGAACUGAUCAUGUGAGCCCCAGAGAUGCUGGGCUUGUUUGUUACUGCAGCAAGAUUUAGCAGAAGCUGACAUCGAAAAAAUCAUCACCGAGCCACACCCACAGCCUUUUUUUAUCUUUCUUCUUGAGACAGGGUCUUGCUAAGUUCCUGAGGCUGGCCUCUGUGGGGUCAGCAGGCUUCCCUUCCCCUCCCCUUCCAUGGCGGCUGUAGGGGGGGACUUUCCACCUGAACAAGGAGACCCGAAAUGGCCAGGGCCAGCCUGCUGUCGGCAGCUGCAGGUUAGAUGGCCAAGGCCCUCCCCCUCCAGCUUCCCUUAUGAGCAUGGUUUCUGCCUUUCCCGGGCCGACGUCCCCGGCCCUCACCCUUUUGGGGACCGGUGACCCUUGCCCGGGAGCGUCCCCAAUAAACCUUCUUUUGGGGCCUCCUCUUGUUCUGUGGUCCUGAUUUCGCGCCCUUUCUGCUUUACAUUUGGUGCCGAGACCCGGGAGGAGCUGAAGCCUUCCCCUUGGGGUGGAGGCUGCUCCUCUCCACCACCCGAAGGAACAGGGAUCUCUAGACCAC
rnacentral:lncRNA from 1 species